rnacentral:tRNA from 1 species
UCCUCUGUAGUUCAGUCGGUAGAACGGCGGACUGUUAAUCCGUAUGUCACUGGUUCGA